UGGGGAAUAUUGCACAAUGGGCGCAAGCCUGAUGCAGCCAUGCCGCGUGUAUGAAGAAGGCCUUCGGGUUGUAAAGUACUUUCAGCGGGGAGGAAGGCGAUAAGGUUAAUAACCUUGUCGAUUGACGUUACCCGCAGAAGAAGCACCGGCUAACUCCGUGCCAGCAGCCGCGGUAAUACGGAGGGUGCAAGCGUUAAUCGGAAUUACUGGGCGUAAAGCGCACGCAGGCGGUCUGUCAAGUCGGAUGUGAAAUCCCCGGGCUCAACCUGGGAACUGCAUUCGAAACUGGCGGGCUAGAGUCUUGUAGAGGGGGGUAGAAUUCCAGGUGUAGCGGUGAAAUGCGUAGAGAUCUGGAGGAAUACCGGUGGCGAAGGCGGCCCCCUGGACAAAGACUGACGCUCAGGUGCGAAAGCGUGGGGAGCAAACA
rnacentral:rRNA from 1 species